UCAAAGAUUCCUACGGUCCCAGGG
rnacentral:siRNA from 1 species